rnacentral:rRNA from 1 species
GCAGGAGCUCAAAUUUGAAAUCUGGGGUCCCCGACCUCCGAGUUGUAAUUUGGAGAGGCAUCUUCGGGGGGGAGCGCCGGCCCAUGUUCCUUGGAACAGGACGUCGCAGAGGGUGAGAAUCCCGUGCCAGGCCGGCUGCCUCCUCCCGGGUGAAGGGCCUUCGACGAGUCGAGUUGUUUGGGAAUGCAGCUCCAAGUGGGUGGUAAAUUUCAUCUAAAGCUAAAUACCGGCGGGAGACCGAUAGCGCACAAGUAGAGUGAUCGAAAGAUGAAAAGCACUUUGAAAAUAGAGUCAAAAAGUACGUGAAAUUGUUGAAAGGGAAGCGCUUGAGACCAGACUCGGGCCCCGGCAAACACCGCGCCCCCAGGGGCCGUGCAAUUGCCGGGGGCUGGGCCAGCAUCAGUCGGCGUGGCGGGACAAAGGCGCGGGGAAUGUGGCUCCCCUCGGGGAGUGUUAUCAGGCCCGCGCUCAAUGCCGCCGACGCCGACUGAGGACCGCGCCUCGGCUAGGAUGCUGGCUUAAUGGCCUUCAGCGACCCGUCUUGAAACACGGA